rnacentral:lncRNA from 1 species
AAAAUAGAAAAAAAGUAUAGUGCAAAUAACUGGAUAAUGUGCGAUUCGUCGAAAUAAGUUUGUUUAUAGAAUUUUAUAACAGAAAUCGCAACAACAACACAUCUGUCUUUCUUUAAAAUCAUGUCAAGAAUGUUUUCUCUUCAUGACAUUGUUUGUCAGUAAACAAAUAUACAACCAUCCGCAGAUACAUCCGUAAAUGCCGGUGUCAGGAAACAAAAACCACAAUUUCAUUUUCUACAUCACAUUAGUGCCCAUUACUAAGACAUGUUUAUUUUCAACACAUCAUUAGUCAUUCUUUUUUCACUUUUAAAUCCUUAUUCAAUUUAUCUUUUGAACAUUUACAUGUACUAAAAGAUGAGAAAUUUAGUCUGUUUGGUUUUAUAAUUUUUCAGUAGAUUGUUUUUCACUAUGACUGUACGAUUUAAAAACGAAUGUGGUAAGAUCGAUGAUUAGAUAACCA